UUCCUGUGGGGUCAAGCAGCCGUCGUGAGAAGAAGGAUUUUCUGCAAUAAAGUGAGAAAAAGUUGGAUUUACGUGAAAAAACUGCAGUUUUAGCAAGAAAAGCCCUCGUCUGCUUAAAACGCUGAGCUGUUGGGCCUGGGAAGCACUUUGUGGCGAGCGGGGCUCGUUAAAAGCCGGGGAAUCUCUGGUUUUCGCAUUGGAGAGUCUCCCUGAACUUCGACCCUGAAAGCUGCCCAGGAGUGCCAUGGACAACACUGAUCUGCCCUUUUUGUUGUUGCUGAGCUUCAAGUCCUCAUCUUCAGAGAGUGUCACGUGUGUACCAGGUAUGCGUAACAGGAAGUAUUACAGUGGCAGGACUGACAACUUGAACAGAGACUGCACAUGUACCACAGCCUUCCAAGAUUACAGCUACCUUCACUGAACUAAUUCCCAUGAUUUAGGAUCGUCCUUUUUUGGACCCUCUGCAUUGGAACCACCAGCAGAUCCUGGAGUUUGAAUUUCCCCUCCUGAACCUUCAUGGUGCACUCCUGCAGGAACACAAGAAACAGGAGUUCAAAGUAGCACAGACAGUAGUUCCAGAGAGAAGAGGAGAAAGAGGAGGUGGAGAAUGAGAAGAUGACAGCAGUAGCUCACGUUCCUGCACUGUCCUAAGAAGCAGAGUGGGAGCUCCAUAUGUGCCUCUGGGUCCGCUCAGAGCAACUGGGACUUCUGCAGAGCCGCUCUGGUAAAUAGGUCACUGCUAACUCUUUACAUAGCUCCAGUAUAGCUCCACUAAAUUUAGAAGAUUUUAGGGAAGAUGUUUGGCUUGGAGCGACGAUGUCUCAUCCAGUGCCAGUUUUUCUUUCGUCAGAUAAUUCAGACACACGCGGUGAGCGGCAUUAGGACAAAGGAGAAUUCUGACAUCCUCUGGAGCUGGAUCAUCGCCAGCUAUCAGACUGUUUAAACAUCAUCCUAGAGUCGAUAAGUCUGCACAGCAGGAACUUGAUUAAGACAAAACUGCAUCGCACUGCCUCGAGUGCACUUGAGCAGAUUCAAUGAUUUAUGGAUAAGAGGCGGGCUGUAUCUCCACUGAGCUGAUAAAGCUAAUGAGUUUGAUCAGGGGCACGAGGAGGACAGGGCAGGAGAGGCUGAAGGUAAGAGAGCUUACCUCCAC